CUAUCUAUCAUGCGGCCUCCACCAGGCUGCAGGAUAUGAGGGCCAUUUAAUUAGGCCCUGCACCACUCUCGGGUGUGAAAAGACUCUCAAACGCUUUGAUUCCCCGCUGCUUCGCAGCAGGAAGUUGUUGGCGAUAAUUGACAUAGGAUUUCCUUGUUAACCAGCAGCAGACACGCCGGAUUAAAGCGACAGAGAUCUCGAGAAGAAAGUGAAAGAGAUAAGAAGCUCGGAAGACUUCUGCUUAUUUGGCACUUGAGGAUGGCAGGAAACAGCAAUAACCUACUCAAGUGGCGACUCUAGAGUGGAAGGGCGUCCCCUUAUCAGACCCAUUUCAGCUUGGCUGAUCAAAGAUUGACUCCCCGCAAAAUCACAUAGGCCUGGGGUUUGUUAGUUUAUUAAGCGGCAGGUUUUAGGAAUUAUCACAGGUUUAAAGAUGGAUUGCAGUUUAUGUGAAGGGGGAGAGGAUUAUCGGGUUUUCAUCUUAACAAUUAUAAAAUAUCACAGCUGAAAGCUUGCUUGCAAAUGACAUAAUUUUCCACUGCCAACUAAACAGGUCAUUGUGAGGCUGCCUGUGAGCUCACUCAACGAGGGAGGAAAUACAGGCAAAUUAACUCUGGGGAGGACCGGGGAUGAGGGGCCUCCACGCCUUGUUCCACUUCGGAAGACGGUGCGAUCUCAUUUUGCCUUGUGCGAUUCCUUAGAAGAUACUCAGCUAGAAGAUUCCUCUGUGAGGCUGCUAGUACUUCUCCAGCAGACCAAGCCAGGAGAGCUUUCUCAAAAAUUCUACCAGAUUUUCCAGGGGUUCUCAAAGAUUGUCUGCAAACCAGCGCUGAUAAAUGAUUGCAGCUUCUUGAGUCUAUAGAGAGAGACCUUUAUGCUCUCUCUACUAGGAAGUAAUGCUUUUUUCCCUGAGAUUAUGUUCUUUCUAAAAUUUUUAUGUGCUUUUAAAAUUUCAUGUGUGUAUUAACAUGUCCUUUCUUUAUAGAAUGUUAAAGACAAUAUAUAAAUUUCUGAAAAGAUUUGAAUGAUUUAAUUUGGCAAAAUAAAGAAUUGCCAAUCCUACAUAGAGCUCCAUACACCAAUUUUUAAAAAUAAUUUUAUUGCUUCACAAAAUCUGGGAACCACUGGAUAUAUGAAGUAUCUCUUUUAGCUAAAGCAAAGUCAACUCUCACCCUAGAAAAAAGUUCAUUUUUUGAUCUGUUUUUAUUUUUCUGUGGCAAAAAGUGCUUUUGUGAUGCCUC
rnacentral:lncRNA from 1 species